CGCUGAGUUUGAUCCUGGCUCAGAUUGAACGCUGGCGGAAUGCUUUACACAAUGCAAGUCGAACGGUAGAGGGGGCAACCCCUUGAGAGUGGCGAAACGGGUGAGUAAUAUAUCGGAACGUGCCCAGUCGUGGGGGAUAACGUAGCGAAAGUUACGCUAAUACCGCAUACGAUCUAAGGAUGAAAGCGGGGGACUCGCAAGAGCCUCGCGCGAUUGGAGCGGCCGAUAUCAGAUUAGGUAGUUGGUGGGGUAAAGGCUCAACCGAAAGCCAACGAUCUGUAGCUGGUCUGAGAGGACGACCAGCCACACGUGGAACUGAGACACGGUCCAGACU
rnacentral:rRNA from 1 species